AGAACGAACGCUGGCGGCAUGCCUAGCACAUGCAAGUCGAACGCUCUCUUCGGAGGGAGUGGCGCACGGGUGAGUAACGCGUGGGAACCUGCCUUGGAGUGGGGGAUAACCGAUGGAAACGUCGGCUAAUACCGCAUACGUCCUGAGGGAGAAAGAUUUAUCGCUCUGAGAGGGCCCGCGUCGGAUUAGCUAGUUGGUGGGGUAACGGCCUACCAAGGCGAUGAUCCGUAGCU
rnacentral:rRNA from 1 species